GACGAACGCUGGCGGCGUGCUUAACACAUGCAAGUCGAACGGAAAGGCCCUGCUUUUGUGUCUUGCUCGAGUGGCGAACGGGUGAGUAACACGUGAGUAACCUGCCCUUGUCUUUGUGGUAACUUCAGGAAACUCGGGCUAAUACCCGAUAUGAUCUCCUGCUGCAUGUGGUUGGUUGGUGAGUGUCGGCGGUGGUGGAUGUACUCGCGGCUUAUCAGCUUGUUUGUGUGGUAGUGGCUUACCAAGGCUUUGACGGGUAGCCUGCCUGAGAGGGUGAACGGCCACCUUGGGACUGAGAGACGGCGCAGAAGCGUACGGGAGGCAGCAGGGGGAAAUAUUGCACAGUGGGCGGAAGCCUGAUGCAGCAACGUCGCGUGCGGGAUGACGGCCUUCGGGUUGUAAACCGCUUUCGAAUGUGACGAAGAGUGAGUGACGGUAAUGAGUAAAGAAGCAACGGCUAACUACGUG
rnacentral:rRNA from 1 species